rnacentral:tRNA from 1 species
GAAACCUGCGAGAGCCCUCCAGGCCUGCUAAGCCCAGGAAGUUGUGGUUUAACUCCAUGAAGGUUUCG